rnacentral:rRNA from 1 species
UACGUAGGGGGCAAGCGUUAUCCGGAUUUACUGGGCGUAAAGGGUGCGUAGGUGGUUUCUUAAGUCAGAGGUGAAAGGCUACGGCUCAACCGUAGUAAGCCUUUGAAACUGGGAAACUUGAGUGCAGGAGAGGAGAGUGGAAUUCCUAGUGUAGCGGUGAAAUGCGUAGAUAUUAGGAGGAACACCAGUUGCGAAGGCGGCUCUCUGGACCGUAACUGACGCUGAGGCACGAAAGCGUGGGGAGCAAACAGGAUUAGAUACCCCGUAGUCCCUGAGCGGGCU